GUUCUUCUGCGUCGCCUUCGACCGGAUCCCUCUUUUCUGCUCGGAGGAGCUUGACGAGGGGGCGGGCUGCAGGUCACGCAGGACAUCUGCCAGUGGCCCACUGUAGGAUUUCUGCUGGGUUCUGGGAUCGCUGAUAACGGUUUCCAGCGGUUCUUUUGUGCGAUUGGGGUACCUGAAAUAAGUAGCAGCAGAUAUUUAUUGUGCGUUUCAAUGCUUUCGCAUAUAAUAUAUAGUCUAAUAAUAUUCCGAUGGGAUAGGUGAAAUGAUAAACGUCCCUUAAAUUAAACGAAAAUUAAAACGAAAAAAAACGAGAGACACGGAGGAAAAUAUCGUCUCUCGAAAUUCAUCUGGAACUUGUAAAUAUUUUCGUUGGAUUGUUUUUGUUGUUUUCUGCUAGUUUUAUUGAUCUAGAAUAUUCGAGUUUACGCUGUUUUGCUGGUCACAUAAUUGACGGAUAAAUGAAAGCUGUUUUCGGUUUGCAAGCUCACAUAGGAACCAUAUAUUUGAGGUAGCAUAAAAAUAAUAUUAAUACAUUAACGACUACUGACGUAAUAUCGCGUCUCUCCAAGGCGAAAACAUGUCCAAGUAUAAGCUAGUCGUGCCAAGCUGAUUAUGAAUAUCUACAAGGAAAGAAGGAUCUCUUGUGUUUAGUUUAAUUAAUAAUAAUAACCGAUGUAAAGUACUUCAGACUUUGAAAAUAAUAAUAUAAUCAUAAUUGUCGAAACUUGUCAUUUUGAAAUUUCAGGAUUUUCGUACAAUUACUGGCUGUGAGUAUGUUAAGAUACAAUGUACGAUAUCUUAGUGAAACGGCUUCUUAGUGACGACUUCUUAGUGAAACGUUAAAAAUGAUCGAACUAUCUUCGUUUCAAACGAAUGACCGCACUUUUGGAAGUAUAUUUUCUCAAACCUUUUUUUAUCCACCAUAUGGAAGUUAUUCGACGAAUUAACGCGUUGGUCAUGCAUGUAAAUGUAUUUCAAAUCGAAGGUAAUUUUAUUUCGAUGCGAAUAACUUUCCUUUUCCUUCUAUUAAGGCUUUUCAUUGCAGUAACCUACAUACAACUUUAGGAAUCCAAUUAUUUCUUGGAUUGGAUUAAAGUAACUUUAAAUCAACAUUUAUAUUCCCUUUAUACUUCAUGUUCUUUAUUGUUAUAUGGAGAUCGAAUGAUAUAUACGUAUACUCUUCCUCUUAUGUAAAUCAAAGUAUCAUGGUCCAGGUACUUUAUUUUGUUUCUUUAUAUGCAAUUCGUUUCCACAAUGAAGAAUAUGAUGACCUAUUAAAGUCUUCUAUUUUGCUGGUGCAUUUAUAAUAAAUUCAAUCUUUCCAAAAAUAUACGCAGCGUUAAGAAAAAUAAGUUAAGUCUCUAAAGGUUUACAUUCGCUAACAAGGGAAGCUUCUGAUUUGACCCUCACCGAUUUCAAUAAAAGCUCUCAUCUGUUUCCUUUCACGAGUAUUGUACUAUUCUACUGUAGAAAAAAAAGAAGAGCGAUAAACGCAAAACAUGUAAAACAAGUUUCUUUGUAUCUUUCAAUAGUUGUGGAUAUUUCGUAACAUAGAUUUUGUUUAUUAAUGUUCGCUAUCAAGUUUUCGUAGAAGCAUAUGUCUAAUAUUGGAAGGGACGUAAGAAAGCGUCUAUGAUGGAUUAUCACGCUGGCAGAGCGACGAUUUCGAUCUUUAUAACCGGAAUCCAGAAAUCGGGUUUGCCGAUUUCAAUAUGGAACAAUGCCAAAAUAGCGGAGAUUUGCAUGAUCUCUUACAAAGUAUGAAUAUUGAACGAUCUUGCACGUAUUCGUGAAAUAUAAUAUAAGCGAGAGAUUUAUCAUUGUUAUUGGAAUUUGGGAGUAUUUUUGUUCCAUUUCCAUUUUAAAUACCAGUGAUUUAUCGUAGUCGUUACUUAUUAAUCAAAACUUUAAGACUUGAAUAAUUGAAUAUAGGUUGUGCCAAUCUCAAUAUCGAUAUCUGUUUUUUCUGAUUUAGAUAUUGAAAGAACGCUAAGCACAGAAUAACAUUAUUUUUAUUCUCUGCGUAGAAGAUAAUAUAAUUUCUAUACUUCUACGUCAUAAAUGUUUGUUAUUAUGAAAUAAUUACAUAACCGUAGAGACAAAUGAUUUAACACAAAUUCGAUGCAACUAGAUUAAUUUACAAUAGAUAAAUUUAUGAAAACAGAUUUAAAUAUGUUUGAUGGGUGAUAAUGGUUAUUAUAAAAGUUGAUAAACUGUUCGUUCGUUCGACCGUUUUCACUGAAGUAAUAAAAUAUCAAAUGCAUGCAAAUUACCGGUUCUUUCUGCAAUUGUCGUCUAUUCGCCUCCUCCUCGUCGCUGGAACUCUCGCUUUCGCUUAAAUCGGAGCUGAAAUAACACUCGCCGGAACCGUACUUGGUGAAAUAAUGCACCACCGCGAAUUGUAUAAUAGUGGCAAAAAUGAAAGCGAAAGAAAGAAAAACGAAGAAGUCCAGGGCAGUGGGGUAAGGAACUUUAGGCAAAUCUGUCCGCGCCUCCAAUCCCAGAAACGUCAUCGUUAAUACGGUUGUUAUGCCUUUAAACAAAUAUGAAAGGACUUUUAUUUAUAUUUCAUUCAAUUGUCAAGUUAUCAAAGAAUAUACGUAUUCGGCUCCAAAAUAUAAUUUUUAAAAUGACUCGAAACCAACGCAGUCGUUAUUGUUUAUAUAAUUGAGAUAAAACAACGAAUGUGUUACAUUUGUCGCAGUGCUCUGUCGAUUAUCUUACAGUUUGUUUUAUCAUUCAUUUGAACAACAGAUAUGUUGCAAAUAAUCGAAGUAUGAUUUUAUCCAAUUCCCAACGAUAAAAUGUUUUGGCAAAUAUGUUUUUUGUGAAUUUAAUAAAGAAAAAUCUAAUUAUUAGAAGAAGACAGAAGAAAGACUAUUUUACAUCGUUUUACAAAUAAGAUGAAGUCAUUAUAUGAUUUAAUAAAUAGACGGAUAGAAAUUCCUUUUGCCGAAUAAAAUCAAUAUAAAACUGUCUGAAAUUUCCAAUCGACGUAACAAGUUAAAUAUCCGGUAAAAGCAUCACUAUAAUUAUAUACUUCUGGUACUAUUUCUACCACGCGAUUAACCUUCGUUGUCAUUUAAAAAAUCCGAUUAAUUUUUAUUUAUUUGCUUCUAGCGUACGUAUAUCUGUGAAACAUGGCCUAGCUAUGAGCUUACCCAGUGAUACACGAUCUGCAGUGGCUUCUCGAUUUAACCAGAAGGAGACCCAAGAUAGGACCACGAGUAAAACACAGGGCCCGUAUACUUGUAUAAGGAAAUUACCCAUGUGCCUCUGCAGAUGAAAAUAUACCAGCAGCAUCGAAUAUUCCGCUGAAGUGAAAAUCUAGGGCAGUCCGAUAAACUGUGCUGUAUGGUUAUAGGUGAGCCACAAGAUUGGCAUUCAGGAGAUGAUUGUUUUGUUAACAACUACUCGUGCGUAAGUCUGGAAUGGUCGGUGCGAAUGCGGGUGAGGGCGGCUUAGUUCUGAUUAGUGCUGAGACGUUGGGUAUUUCUUGCACGCUAGAUCGUACUGUGCGAAGUUUUGUAUGGGGGUUGUUGAGCCAUAAACAGUUCUAAAAUUUGCUAGCGGCUUCUUCGAUAACGGUUUUAGCAUCGUGGAAGUUAGGUCUGAUUUUUCUUCACGGUGAAUAAGUUUUGACGGCCUUUUGAUUUCUAUAUGACUGGGAAUCCAUAUCAAUUUUAUGCUAUACUGUUUAUUUCAAUGAUCGAAUGGAUUUCUAUUUAUGACGCUACGUGUUAGGACGUUUUCGAUGGCUUGAGGUUUACAGGAUAAAAAAGAGAAGGUAUAAUCUGCGUGUAGAAGUAAAAUUGUUUCUAACAAAUAUUUAUUAUAUUACCCUUAAUAUUUCGUUACAAUAUAAUGGUAAAUAUAUAGAACCUAAUCUGUCCUCUUUUCCUUGUUAUACUAUAAUUCACAUUUGUAAUCUAUCUUUUAUACUUCGAAUGAAAAAAAGAGAAAGAGGAUUACAUACUAAUAUAAUGCAAUUUCACUCAUAAAACUAAUAAAUCGAGUUAAUUCAAUAUUCCACGAUCCUCUUCGUUCGGUCCACCUUCAGCUAUUGUUCGAUAUGUAUAUAAUAUUUAUCUUCUACUCGUUUCAAUUUUCAUCUGUAGUUGAGUUCAACAUCGAAUAUCAACAAGGUUCGAUCGGAAUCGAAAUCAAACAGGGUCGCGAUCAUUAGUUUCCUCGGUUACGCACAAACCAUAUCCUAGCGUCCAACGUAGCAGCUAGUCACUCUGUUUGUCCCGCACUUUUUCCUCGAUAACGAGUACAAUAUACAAGGAACAACCGUAUCAAACACCAACCUGUACUGUCUCUUUCUAUUUUCUACGUAUUAUCCCUGGCAAUCGUGUUUCAAUUUGCCCAACGCAAACAGAAACGAUGUCAUGCAUACACGUGAAUGUUUGCGCCACGUUCACGGAUCCUUAAAAAAUUCUUACCACCCUAUUGAUGCAAUCACAGUGACGACGCGACGAUUGUUUGCGGAGUAUUAAUCGAUGCUAAUCCAAUUAAAAGUGGAAGUCGUUGCCAGUCGGCGUUUCCCCUCUCGUUUCUCGUUAUCAGCCGAUGGAAAUACAAGAGGGACGAGAGUUUUCUGCAGGAGGAUGCUGCAAUUAGUCGUCGUUUCUUCCGUUGCCAACUUUCAACGUGGAACCUCUUUUCUUCAUCCUCCUUCUCCUGUUUCAUCCCCUAUCUUCUUCCAUUGCUUUUCCUCCAUCUUUUCCUUUUUCUUUACGUCGUCGUUUUCUCGCACCACUUGUCGGUCCGCUCGAAUCCCACCCACUUUCGGGCUGAUUCAUUCGUACCUUCGAUAUUCCUGUAGAAUCCGUAAGCGUGGCCCGAUAAAAGUUUCCAAUCGAGUUCCUUUGCAGUCGUUAAGAGACAAUUCCUUCCUCUCGUUCCUCUAAUUCGAACAAGCCUUAGCCACCGACAUUCUUCGACGACUCUUAUCAUGGCUAUACGUUUCUCUUUCGAUUAUACUUCCGUCGUCUAUCUUUUCCUUCCUCGGUUUGAUCCUUGAUACAUCGCGUCGUCGAUAAGGAUUUUUCGCUGAAAUCUAUUCUUAAAUGGAGUUUCCUUUCAUGGGUUAUCGCCUGGCGUACAAGUACGGUUCUUUAGGUAGACAAUUCUGAAAAUAUUUUGAAAGAUGAGAAAGAACAGGUCGAAGAUGAAUGUUGAAGUAUUACGGAUAGAUUAUUGUCUGGUAUACGAGUAUUAUUAUGUCGUAUGAAGCGUGAUUUUUGAGGGAGGCAACUUGGGAAAUAUUUUUAAAGAUGAGAAAGGAUAGAUCGAAGGUGGAAGCUGAAAGUAUUAUGGAUAGGUUAUCGUGUGGAAUACAAAUGGUUGUCGUGUUAUACCAAAUACGAUUUUCGAGGGGGUCAAUUUUGAAAGUAUUUUUCAAAUGAGAAUGGAUAGGUUGAAAGUUGAGGUAUUAAAGAUAUUAAAACUAUGAAACGAAGAUUGUUGGGACCGAACCAAUUGGGACCGAACAUUUCCUUUGUCUUAUUCAAAGUGAUUUUGCCAGUUUUUCGGUUAUGAAGUUUAUGCUAGCACUGCGCGACAACGGAUUGGUUGUUGUUUAUCGUUCAAAAUGCUGAUUUAAGCCGUGAUUACCAGAUCGUUGUGUAAUGAAUCGGGUGCUAUUGGGUUAAUAGGUUCGGUCAUCAUUGGAAUCGUCGAUUGUCGGCGUCACUGUUUAUGUGUUCGUCGAUGGCUGGAGGAUGGAGUUGGGGACGAGUUCGUUCGUGGUGUCUUCGAUUUGUGGUUUGUUGUAGAUUUCCGAUGACGAGAUGAUGAGGUGGGUGUCAAGAAUCGACUGUUUGACGGAAAGGAGGCUCGGCUGAAUGUUGCGGGAUGAGCUCUUGCGUGGUGUUGAGGCCUAUGUAGCAUCGUGUGAUGCCGUUGUCCACACCUAUGACAUAAUCCGGCGUAACAAUCUUGCACUGAAUGUCCUUUCCUCAGGUAAUUGAUGCAUAAGGAUGUCCUUGUAACGUUCUUAAGGCGCUCGCCAACUGGUUUAGCCUUGAAGUUGUCACAUUUCCAAAUGGAGUGUGGUCCUCGGCAGAUUGGACAUGUCAACGGAGCCUGUGUCGCGGCAAAUGCGUGCUUCCGUCGCGCACAUUGACAGACCGAAUUGGGUUGAUUCGGUGCGAUGAUCCUCUUGUCGUCGAGACCUCGGAGGAUGGUGUGAAGAUAAGUGCCAAAUUCUUGAGGAAGUCCAAUAAAUGAGUAUAAUGAGGCACUUCCUUGUUAGGUAACGUAAGUUCCCAUUGUUUAAUGAUAUUUGCUGGUAAUUUCGAACUGAUGAGGCUGAUUAGUAUGGCGUUUAUAUUGGUUUGUUCUCCUAAAUUCUUUAAUGAGCAGAGAUUUUGGCUGAUCGAGCAGAUUAAAUGCCACAAGGGCGUUGGACAUUGUUUACUUACUUUUGGAUACUGAACGAUUGCGUGGCUGUGUUUUAAAGCGACGUAUCGUGGAUGCUCGAACCUGUUCUUGAGAAUGGCUAUAGCGGUAAUGUAAUUUGCGUCGCUGAUGGGUAAUACAUUCACGCAGUCCGCUGCUUUUCCCGUUAGGAGGGAUCGAAGGUAUAGGAAUUUUUGUACAGGUGUGAGGUAGUGGUUGUCGCCUAUUGUCGAGGAAAAAAGAUUAUAGAACCCACCCCAUUCCUCAAAUUUCCCGUCGAAGGUGGGGAAUUUCAGUUUCGGCAAUGGAAUUCGCGUUGCGGGAAAAUCGCUGCCUUUGGGUGUCAACAGGGUUGAUGGUCGCUCGCCCUUUAUAAGAUUCCUUAAUCGAGCGACCAGGGAAAUAUAAGUUUCAAGCGCUUCUUGUUCCUGCGUGUUGCCCUCUUCGUCGAGGUUGUUUAAUUUUUCCUGGACUAGUUGGAACUGUUUCUACUCGUCCUUGAAUAGGCCUUUAUAUGUUUUCAAAGGACCAACGCUAUGAUUGUCGGAUUGUUGGUAAUCGUCGAUGCCGUUCUUUAUGAACUGGAUGUUGUCGAGAUAGUUAUCGCGUUUUCGUCGCAGGGAGUUGAUUUUUGACGGGGUCGACAUGCUUCGUGAUGAAGGUACUUCGUUAACACUUGUGAUGUUGUGAGACUGAAGUUGUUGGAACUCGUUGCACUGAUAAUGAUGGAUUUGCGUGACACUCUGUGGUAGUGGGUAUCAUUGGUGUGUACACUUUUCACUUGAUACGUAAUCGGG